rnacentral:rRNA from 1 species
UACAGAGGGUGCGAGCGUUGUCCGGAAUCACUGGGCGUAAAGGGCGCGUAGGUGGCCCGACAAGUCCGUGGUGAAAGCUCGACGCUCAACGUCGAGUCGGCCAUGGAUACUGUGGGGCUGGAGCACUGUAGAGGCUCAUGGAAUUCCGGGUGUAGCGGUGGAAUGCGUAGAGAUCCGGAAGAACACCGGUGGCGAAGGCGGCGACCUGGGUAGAUACUGACGCUGAGGCGCGACAGCGUGGGGAGCAAACAGG